rnacentral:rRNA from 1 species
GUGGGGAAUUUUGGACAAUGGGCGCAAGCCUGAUCCAGCCAUGCCGCGUGCAGGAAGACGCAUCUAUGGUGUGUAAACUGCUUUUGUACGGGAAGAAACACUCCCUCGUGAGGGAGCUUGACGGUACCGUAAGAAUAAGGAUCGGCUAACUCCGUGCCAGCAGCCGCGGUAAUACGGAGGAUCCAAGCGUUAUCCGGAAUCAUUGGGUUUAAAGGGUCCGUAGGCGGUUUAAUAAGUCAGUGGUGAAAGCCCAUCGCUCAACGAUGGAACGGCCAUUGAUACUGUUAGACUUGAAUUACAAGGAAGUAACUAGAAUAUGUAGUGUAGCGGUGAAAUGCUUAGAUAUUACAUGGAAUACCAAUUGCGAAGGCAGGUUACUACUUGUGGAUUGACGCUGAUGGACGAAAGCGUGGGGAGCGAACAGGAUUAGAAACCCGGGUAGUCC